rnacentral:rRNA from 1 species
GACGAACGCUGGCGGCGUGCCUAAUACAUGCAAGUUGAGCGCUGAAGGUUGGUACUUGUACCAACUGGAUGAGCAGCGAACGGGUGAGUAACGCGUGGGGAAUCUGCCUUUGAGCGGGGGACAACAUUUGGAAACGAAUGCUAAUACCGCAUAAAAACUUUAAACACAAGUUUUAAGUUUGAAAGAUGCAAUUGCAUCACUCAAAGAUGAUCCCGCGUUGUAUUAGCUAGUUGGUGAGGUAAAGGCUCACCAAGGCGAUGAUACAUAGCCGACCUGAGAGGGUGAUCGGCCAAAUUGGGACUGAGACACGGCCCAAACUCCUACGGGAGGCAGCAGUAGGGAAUCUUCGGCAAUGGACGAAAGUCUGACCGAGCAACGCCGCGUGAGUGAAGAAGGUUUUCGGAUCGUAAAACUCUGUUGGUAGAGAAGAAAGUUGGUGAGAGUGGAAAGCUCAUCAAGUGACGGUAACUAACCAGAAAGGGACGGCUAACUACGUG